UACGUAGGUGGCGAGCGUUGUCCGGAUUUACUGGGCGUAAAGGGAGCGUAGGCGGACUUUUAAGUGAGAUGUGAAAUACUCGGGCUCAACUUGAGUGCUGCAUUUCAAACUGGAAGUCUAGAGUGCAGGAGAGGAGAACGGAAUUCCUAGUGUAGCGGUGAAAUGCGUAGAGAUUAGGAAGAACACCAGUGGCGAAGGCGAUUCUCUGGACUGUAACUGACGCUGAGGCUCGAAAGCGUGGGGAGCAAACAGG
rnacentral:rRNA from 1 species